rnacentral:lncRNA from 1 species
UUUUUUGUCUAUACGAAGAAUCAAAACGACCAACAGUCCUUCUGACUCCCUUGAACUUCCCUUGACCGCUUUGCCUGUGUUUCCAGAGUCUGUUGACUCUCUUUGAGAUUAGAUACAACUCAUCAUCAUCAUUUGAGUCUUCAUCAAAUACUUAUGAUUCUUCCUCAGAUUGAUAGGCUCUUGUCUUCUCAGGCUUGGAGUUUAAGGCACCAAAUUUACCUCUCUUAUGAGGUUCAUCUUCU